rnacentral:rRNA from 1 species
GACGAACGCUGGCGGCGUGCUUAACACAUGCAAGUCGAACGAAGUGGCGAACGGGUGAGUAAUAUAUAGCUAAUCUGCCCCUUGCUGGAGGACAACAGUUAGAAAUGACUGCUAAUACUCCAUAGCAAGGGAUGAGACUAUAUCGUAUCAGCUAGUCGGUGGGGUAACGGCCUACCGAGGCUAUGACGCGUAACUGGUCUGAGAGGAUGAUCAGUCACAUUGGAACUGAGACACGGUCCAAACUCCUACGGGAGGCAGCAGUAGGGAAUAUUGCGCAAUGGGGGAAACCCUGACGCAGCGACGCCGCGUGGGGGAUGAAGGCUUUCGGGUUGUAAACCUCUUUCGCUAUCGAACGGGUAGGUGGAGAAGAAGCGCAGGCUAACUACGUGCCAGCAGCCGCGGUAAUAC